rnacentral:rRNA from 1 species
UACGUAGGGAGCGAGCGUUGUCCGGAUUCAUUGGGCGUAAAGAGCUCGUAGGCGGCUUGGCAAGUCGGGUGUGAAAACUCCAGGCUCAACCUGGAGACGCCACCCGAUACUGCCAUGGCUAGAGUCCGGUAGGGGACCACGGAAUUCCUGGUGUAGCGGUGAAAUGCGUAGAUAUCGGGAGGAACACCUGUGGCGAAAGCGGCUCACUGGACCACAACUGACGCUGAGGCGCGAAAGCUAGGGGAGCAAAACAGG